ACGCACGCAGCCACGCCCUGGAUCGGCUGCUCCUGGGGCCACCUCAUUUCAGAGGACAGACACUGAAAAUGACUGGAGUGUUGCUGAAGUCCAAGCAAACUGUGCAUCACGACACUACUCCUGUGGUGGGAGUACGAGGCCGUCACACACACGCAUGCAACAUUAGUUCCCACGCCCUGCGGCUUCUCCUCCGUGACCCCCUACGCGCGUGAUCGAUUGCCCUACACACCUGAGGAAACCCGGGGGCAGGUAAGGGAGGGAGACAACAGCUGGUAAAGGAAACAGAAGUAAAAGACGGUGCAAUCAACGUGUAUGGGAGACAGUGAAGAAGAACUGAAGAAAAGGAAUCUAAGAUGAGAUCACAAAGAAGAAGAAGAGGAAGAAAAAGAAGAAAGAUGAGGUCCAGAAGCAAGCAACACAGAGGAAGAAGAAGGCUGAGUUUGUCGAGUGUCAGCAGAGGGCAGCAGGAGAGAUAACCAAGACUUUACAGCGAAGGACUCCUUUGCUGUGCCGAGUCUUCAUGGCAAUCCAACGUCUCCAGUUGUGGCUGUGCCUCUGUCGGGGCUGACGGUGUUUUCCUAAGCCCAUGCACUUAACAGCAGCUUGGUUCACUACACAAGUCACUGCCGUACUUCUGGGAGGAUAGUCCUGUCUGCAGCUCCACGUGUGCUGCGGGAGACUCAGGCUGGGUAGCUCUUGGGCCGCUGCGGCAGCUGGAGGAGGGGUGCUGUGGGGUACUGGUGGCGAGGGGCACCCACUGGAAGCUCAUCUGGUGCAAUUCUUUAGGUCACGAAGCAAGCAGCCCAGCAUUACUAACCUGUAGCCGCCACUGUCUGCCUGGUACUCUGUGAUGUGCAGGGCCCCGGCAGGAUCCACAUAGCCAAACCGCCCGGACACCUUUCCAGAGGCGUCCCUCAUCUCGAUACGGAAGCUCUGGUGCUUGCCACCCCCUGUGGAUGGAGAAGGUGUACGUUCCAUCGGGGUUGAAGGAGUAAAAGUUUUCCUCGGCUGCAAUAGGGAAGUCCUGCAGGAUGGUCCCUCGCCCCACACUUGCACCUUGACCCACACUCAGGGCCACACCUGUCCAGGUCCACAGCCACAGCCACACCCACACCCACAGGCACACCCUCACCCGCACAGGACAGACCAACGGACAUCUUGUGUCGUGCUGCAAUGGGGAGAAAUGUGUAAGUCAAGAUGUUCAGCAGUGGGGAGAAAUGCUUAAGUUAGGAAUUUCAGAGUUAUUGCUUUGAGACAGUUUGGGCAUUCUUCUGUCUGCAAAAGUGAGAGUAAUUGAAGAAAUCAUAUCCAGAGUAGUUUUGGCAAUCAGUGAUGGGUUGCAUACUAGCUACUGAGGGGUUUUACAUGUAUUGUGGUUCAGAAUCCUUAGUCAUCACGCCACCCUCCCAUAAUCAUAAAUGUAGAGUUGUAGAAUGAGGUCUUCCCGUUUGGUACGAAGUUCUACAGUUCAGUUAAACUUUAUUAUCGAGACUGUUACAUUGCAUUAAGGCACAGCAUCAACAUCAUCACCCGUAACUAGUUCACGGUAGGACAAGGGCCUUUCCCAGCAUGUACAAACUCACUCACACACUGUCACACUCACACUCGCUCAUACUCACACGCUCUAACACACACACUCAGUCAUUGUCAAAUAAUGUUAAUUUUUGUUCUUUCAAAACAAAAUAAAAAUAACUUAUUUUCUUUGUACGGUGUUUAUAUAUUGCUUGUAAAUGAAGCGAGAGUUGUAUUUUCAUACUUUGGUUUUGGAUUUGAUAAAGAGAGCAA